rnacentral:rRNA from 1 species
CGGAGGAUGCCUUGGAUUCCAGAGGCGAUGAAGGACGCGUUAGGCUGCGAUAAGCCGUGGUGAGGUGCCUAAAAACCUUUGAUCCGCGGAUUUCCGAAUAGGACAACCUAUUAGAGCCCCUUCGGGGGAGGCGAACGAGGGGAACUGAAACAUCUAAGUACCCUUAGGAAAAGAAAUCAACAGAGAUUCCCCUAGUAGCGGCGAGCGAACGGGGAACAGCCCUUAAGCUGUAUUGAAUGUAGUGGAAUCCUUUGGGAAGAGGAGCGAUACAAGGUGAUAGCCCUGUACACGACGCAAUCUUUACAGUGAAAUCGAGUAGGUCGGGACACGUGUUAUCUUGACUGAAUAUGGGGGGACCAUCCUCCAAGGCUAAAUACUCCUAACUGACCGAUAGUGAACCAGUACCGUGAGGGAAAGGCGAAAAGAACCCCUGUGAGGGGAGUGAAAUAGAACCUGAAACCGUAUACGUACAAGCAGUGGGAGCCCUUCGGGGUGACUGCGUACCUUUUGUAUAAUGGGUCAGCGACUUAUAUUUAGUAGCAAGGUUAAGCGAAUAGCGGAGCCGUAGCGAAAGCGAGUGUUAACUGCGCGUUUAGUUGCUAGGUAUAGACCCGAAACCGAGUGAUCUAGCCAUGGGCAGGUUGAAGGUUGAGUAACAUCAACUGGAGGACCGAACCGACUAACUUUGAAAAGUUAGCGGAUGACUUGUGGCUGGGGGUGAAAGGCCAAUCAAACUCGGAGAUAGCUGGUUCUCCCCGAAAGCUAUUUAGGUAGCGCCUCGGACGAAUACCACAGGGGGUAGAGCACUGUUAAGGCUAGGGGGUCAUCCCGACUUACCAACCCUUUGCAAACUCCGAAUACCAAUGAGAACUAUCCGGGAGACACACGGCGGGUGCUAACGUCCGUCGUGGAGAGGGAAACAACCCAGACCGCCAGCUAAGGUCCCAAAAUAUUGCUAAGUGGGAAACGAUGUGGGAAGGCAUAGACAGCUAGGAGGUUGGCUUAGAAGCAGCCACCCUUUAAAGAAAGCGUAAUAGCUCACUAGUCGAGUCGGCCUGCGCGGAAGAUGUAACGGGGCUAAGCAAUAUACCGAAGCUGCGGCAGCAUAGUUUACUAUGCUGGGUAGGGGAGCGUUGUGUAAGUGGAUGAAGGUGAGUUGUAAAGCUUGCUGGACAUAUCACAAGUGCGAAUGCUGACAUGAGUAACGAUAAGGGGAGUGAAAAACUCCCCCGCCGGAAGACCAAGGUUUCCUGUCCCAUGCUAAUCAGGGCAGGGUAAGUCGGCCCCUAAGGCGAGGCAGAAAUGCGUAGUCGAUGGGAAACGGAUUAAUAUUUCCGUACUUAUAUAAUCAGUGAUGGAGGGACGGAGAAGGCUAGGCAAGCUUGGCGUUGGUUGUCCAAGUGAAAGCGAGUAGGCCGAGAAUUUAGGUAAAUCCGGAUUCUUAAAGCUGAGACGCGAGACGAGCUCCCAAGGGAGUGAAGUUGUUGAUGCCCUGCUUCCAGGAAAAGCUUCUAAACUUAUGAUUAUAUGAACCGUACCCCAAACCGACACAGGUGGU